GAUGAACGCUGGCGGCGUGCCUAAUACAUGCAAGUCGAGCGAACGGACGAGAAGCUUGCUUCUCUGAUGUUAGCGGCGGACGGGUGAGUAACACGUGGAUAACCUACCUAUAAGACUGGGAUAACUUCGGGAAACCGGAGCUAAUACCGGAUAAUAUUUUGAACCGAAUGGUUCAAAAGUGAAAGACGGUCUUGCUGUCACUUAUAGAUGGAUCCGCGCUGCAUUAGCUAGUUGGUAAGGUAACGGCUUACCAAGGCAACGAUGCAUAGCCGACCUGAGAGGGUGAUCGGCCACACUGGAACUGAGCCACGGUCCAGACUCCUACGGGAGGCAGCAGUAGGGAAUCUUCCGCAAUGGGCGAAAGCCUGACGGAGCAACGCCGCGUGAGUGAUGAAGGUCUUCGGAUCGUAAAACUCUGUUAUUAGGGAAGAACAUAUGUGUAAGUAACUGUGCACAUCUUGACGGUACCUAAUCAGAAAGCCACGGCUAACUACGUG
rnacentral:rRNA from 1 species